AUUGAACGCUGGCGGCAGGCCUAACACAUGCAAGUCGAACGGUAACAGGAAGACGCUUGCUUCUUUGCUGACGAGUGGCGGACGGGUGAGUAAUGUCUGGGAAACUGCCUGAUGGGGGGGGAUAACUACUGGAAACGGUAGCUAAUACCGCAUAACGUCGCAAGACCAAAGAGGGGGACCUUCGGGCCUCUUGCCAUCGGAUGUGCCCAGAUGGGAUUAGCUAGUAGGUGGGGUAACGGCUCACCUAGGCGACGAUCCCUAGCUGGUCUGAGAGGAUGACCAGCCACACUGGAACUGAGACACGGUCCAGACUCCUACGGGAGGCAGCAGUGGGGAAUAUUGCACAAAGGGCGCAAGCCUGAUGCAGCCAUGCCGCGUGUAUGAAGAAGGCCUUCGGGUUGUAAAGUACUUUCAGCGGGGAGGAAGGGAGUAAAGUUAAUACCUUUGCUCAUUGACGUUACCCGCAGAAGAAGCACCGGCUAACUCCGUG
rnacentral:rRNA from 1 species